rnacentral:lncRNA from 1 species
GGGAGCUGCACCCCACCGCCAGCACCAGCCUGGGCAGGGUGCUGCGCGUGCGCAGCGAGCUCCUGGGCCGCGCGCCGUGCCUUAGUAGCGGCCAAGCUGAGCCAGAAUCCUCCUUGAGGCUUCUUGUUCACGGGUCCUCAGAGAUACAGAUGGGAUCAUGCAGACUGCUUCUUCCAACAGAGUACUUCAUUCAUACAUGUGAAGGAAGCAGGAGGAAGGAGGUAACCAAGAUAAAGAAACCGAACAAGUGACUUUAGAGGAAAUUGAGCUAAUUCUAAAAACAGAAGAGAUCUUAAAAGCAAAUUUUAUCAUCAGUAGAGAUUUGAUAGAGCUAUAGUGCUUUCAAAACCAAGAAUGGCCUGCAAAAGAAAAUGAGCAAGCUGAGAACAACAAAAACAAGAUGCAACCAGAUGAAGACCUGUGGAACAGAUGGAGGGCACAACCUGAGAUGGAACCUUAUAGAGACAGAUUUGUCAUCAAGUCUCUACAAAUCAUAUUUUACCACUUCCUGUGGUGUACACCUGAGGCUUCUUGAUAAUGUACUUUGCUGCCACACACAAGAUUCUGUAGCCCUAGAAAUGCCUACUUUGUUGUCUUUAUAAUGUGCCUUAAAACAAUAACAGAAUGAAGGAACUGGAGUAUCACAGGGAAAUAAUGUCCGCAGGAGGUGCAUAAGAUGCUCUAACAAGACCUCUUCCUGCCAAAUUCCCUGUGUUUUAUAUUCUAGCUCUAGGUUCCUAAGAAAUGAAAAUAGGAGUUUGCCAUUAAAGACUGAUUUUCUCAGUUUCUUGCGAUUAUAAACACACCUGUUCAAAAUAACUUUGUCAUGAUGGACUAAAGAAAUUUUCUGCAGUGUUUCUUCUCAUAUGCUCUCAUGUGUUUUGCCUAGAACAGGAGUUGGUCUUUUGAUAAGUGAUUCUUGAAACAGCAAGUUGUUCAAGGGUUGGAAUUUAUAAUAUUUGAUAAACAUACAGCCUCAGCUUACUUAUUUUAAAAUUGAAUCUUUGAAAGAUUUCACUCAUGCCUGGCUUCUAUUAUGUUUUGAGGACAAUCUGAACUCUGAAUAUUAACUAUUAUGUCUAUACGUAACUUUAAGUUACCCAUUAUAUCUUUUAAAUGUAAACAAUGGGGCUCUUGGUCUACUUUUACUGUAUUUUAUGUCACUGCAACUGGAAAUCCUCAAUUCGUUAUUCAUGGGACUAAAAAUUGUGAUCAUAUGUAACAAACUAGGUCCAUGGUCUCUAUGAAGUUAUCACAGUGUGAAAAUAAGGUGGAGUAAUAACUUUGCGUUUCUAAAAUGUAAAACCAACGGAAAAUCUUAAGAAAUACAAAAGAUUUUUCCAUAAAAUAAAAAUGUCAAAAAAUGCA